rnacentral:misc_RNA from 1 species
UCUCCGUAGGUGAACCUGCGGAGGGAUCAUGACAGAGUUCAUGCCCUACCGGGUAGAUCUCCCACCCUAUGUUAUUAUUACUUUGUUGCUUUGGCGGGCCGUUAGGCUCCGGCCCGACUACCGGCCCCGGCUGGUAAGCGCCCGCCAGAGGACCCAAAACCCUGAAUAUUAGUGUCGUCUGAGUACUAUAUAAUAGUUAAAACUUUCAACAACGGAUCUCUUGGUUCUG